rnacentral:rRNA from 1 species
GUAGGUGGCAAGCGUUGUCCGGAAUUAUUGGGCGUAAAGCGCGCGCAGGCGGUUCUUUAAGUCUGGUGUGAAAGCCCACGGCUCAACCGUGGAGAGUCAUUGGAAACUGGAGAACUUGAGUACAGAAGAGGAAAGCGGAAUUCCACGUGUAGCGGUGAAAUGCGUAGAGAUGUGGAGGAACACCAGUGGCGAAGGCGGCUUUCUGGUCUGUAACUGACGCUGAGGCGCGAAAGCGUGGGGAGCAAACAGGAUUAGAUACCCUGGUAGUCCACGCCGUAAACGAUGAGUGCUAAGUGUUAGGGGGUUUCCGCCCCUUAGUGCUGCAGCUAACGCAUUAAGCACUCCGCCUGGGGAGUACGGCCGCAAGGCUG